AGAGAUGUGUGAUGACGCAUAUCAAUAAGCGGAGGAAAAGAAACUAACAAGGAUUCCCUUAGUAACGGCGAGUGAAGCGGGAAGAGCUCAAAUUUGAAAUCUUCAAGGUUCUACCUUGACGAAUUGUAGUUUAUAGAAGUGUUUUCUGUUAGUGGAGUGGCAAAAGUUCUUUGGAAUAGGACAUCAUAGAGGGUGAGAAUCCCGUAUUUGGUCAUUCCUCCUAGCGUUGUGAUACACUUUCAACGAGUCGGAUUGUUUGGGAAUGCAGUCCAAAAUGGGUGGUAAAUUUCAUCUAAAGCUAAAUAUUGGCGAGAGACCGAUAGCGAACAAGUACCGUGAGGGAAAGAUGAAAAGAACUUUGAAAAGAGAGUUAAACAGUACGUGAAAUUGUCAAAAGGGAAGCGUUUGACACCAGUGUUGUUUUUCCGAAAAUCAAUUACGAAUGUUUUGUUUUUAAGGAGUUAUGACUUCAUCGGCUUGCUUCUCUCUUUACGAAACUUUCUUAAUGCACUUUUCGGUUAACAAGUCAACAUCAAUUUCUUUUGUUGUAAAAGGGUACUGAGGAAGGUGGCUUUCUUUUCGGAGAAAGUGUUUAUAGCCUUGUAGCCUCUGCAAUCGGAGAGAUUGAGGUCUGCAGCGUAGAUCCUUCGGGGUUAGAUACAUUUGUGCUAAGUUAUAGCUUUUCAUAGACAACUUGUUGACUAUGUUUAGUCUUGUAGCUUACUCGCUUAUGCUAUUUUACCUACGCUUAGGAUGUUGAAGAUGUAGCACAUCAU
rnacentral:rRNA from 1 species